rnacentral:rRNA from 1 species
GAUGAACGCUGGCGGCGUGCUUAACACAUGCAAGUCGAGCGAGUGAGUUCUUCGGAACGAUCUAGCGGCGGACGGGUGAGUAACACGUGGGCAACCUGCCUCAUAGAGGGGAAUAGCCUCCCGAAAGGGAGAUUAAUACCGCAUAAAAUUAUCGAGUGGCAUCACAUGAUAAUCAAAGGAGUAAUCCGCUAUGAGAUGGGCCCGCGGCGCAUUAGCUAGUUGGUGAGGUAACGGCUCACCAAGGCGACGAUGCGUAGCCGACCUGAGAGGGUGAUCGGCCACAUUGGGACUGAGACACGGCCCAGACUCCUACGGGAGGCAGCAGUGGGGAAUAUUGCACAAUGGGGGAAACCCUGAUGUAGCAACGCCGCGUGAGUGAUGAAGGUCUUCGGAUUGUAAAGCUCUAUCUUUGGGGACGAUAAUGACGGUACCCAAGGAGGAAGCCACGGCUAACUACGUGCCAGCCGCCGCCGUAA